GGAUGGGAGAGCUGGGCGCCUCCCUCCGCCCCGCUGGCCCAGGCGCCCGGUGCGGUCCCUGCGAGCCCCUCCCCGGGAGUUCUCAUUGCCACCCCCUGCCCCAACUCCCGGCCGCUCCGAUGCCUGUGCCAACCGGGGUCCUGCGUCCCCCUCACCUGGGUGCUGGGGCACAGGGUGACCUUUUGCGCCGGGCCAACCCCAGUACCUGCUUCUCAGCGCACCCCGGUCCCCGAGCGGGCCAGGCGGUUCCGUGGGGGCGGGCGCCAUCCGCACAGCUGGGCUGGAUGUCCGCACACCUGGGUCUGGCCGCGCUGAGGGUGGGCGCUCCUGUCGGGCUCGGGUUCAAGUCCUGGCCGUGACACCUGGACCCCUCCACAGUCCUGCGGCCCCUCACUUUCCCCCCUGUAAUAAGAUCCCUGCAGGGCUGGUUAGAGGAGCAGCUGUAACGCACCUGGAAGGUAACUGGCCGUUCACAGGAGUAGUCCACGGACACCUGUCGCCUUCGUGCUGAAGGACUUUGGGGACAAGCGGGCCUCAUCCAAAACGUGGGGAGACUGACCAUUGUCAUCCCAGGGAAGAGGGGAGGACGCAGGCGUGAAAGGACGAUGUUUAGAACACAUUUAAAGUCACACAACAAUAGAAAGCAAACUACUGGCUCUCCGGAAGAAGUGACUGUGUCUGAAAUUCCACGUGGGUGCCCGGGGGAGCGUGCACUUGUCAGAGGACAAAAGCCCUCGAUGCUCCUGUGUUCACUCAGCAGCCAUGGUUCACACGCCCCACUGGAGGGACCCCUAAAAUCCCACCCCACUUCAGCCCUGGACGGUCCAGUGCCUUUUCUAACAGACGGAGUGGAACAAGCUGAGUCACCCCACGCCGGGCCCACUUGGGAACGCCAGAGUGGGGGCACUGUUCGGCUGACCCCCAGGUUUGGGUUUGCUGAGCAGGGUGGACAGGCCAACAAAGGGGUCUAUCGAGGUGCUGGGUUGGGGAGAAGCAACGUCCAAGGGGGUUCACUGGAGGGAAACCUGGUGUCCUCUAAUGGGCUUCCUCCCCCUGCUGCACCCGCUGCAGCCACCAUCUUCCCACAGUGUGUUCAAAAUAAAUUCUCACUAAUCCAUAAUGGAACUGGUUCUCUUUGGGGCCACAUCAGAACUGAGAAUAACCUCAAGGCGGAUGCCGCUGAGAGGGACUGCCCGCUGCGGGCGCCACCAUGCACACUGGGAGCCUGCCACAUCCAAGGGACUGGAUAUACUUGUUCCUUCCACACCUGUGCCCAGAUGGCCACCCCCCAGAUGGCUUCACGCCCUCAGCAGCAGCUGGAGAACAACCCGGAGGCUCAGAUAGUAAACUCCUAGAGGCGCAGAUGAUGCUCCUUAGGAAAAUGCAAAAAUGAGGCUCAUGCUUUCAUCCAGGCUGAAGUCCCUCUUGCUUGAGCACCUAAGCCCAUAGGGGCUAUUUCCCCAGGGGGAAACAUGGAUUCUUACCAUGCACAUGGUCGAGGCUCCAUGUUCUACUCCCUUCCUCAUGGAAGAGAUGAUCUGACUUUUAAAAUGAUAGUAUGCAGGCACGGUGCAGUGGCUCACGCUGGUAAUCCCAGCACUUUGGAAGGCCAAGGCAGGAAGGUUGCUUGAUCCCAGGAGUUCAAGACCAGCCUGGGCAACAUGGUGAAACCCACCUCUACUUAAGGCGUGGUGGUGCACACCUGUAUUCCCAGCUACUCGGGAGGCUGAGGCAGAAGGAGCGCUUGAGCCCAGGAGAUCGUGGCUGCAGUGAGCCCUGAUUCUACCACUGUACUCCAGCCUGGGUGACAGAGUGAGAUCCCUUUUAAAAAAAAAAGAAAUAGAGAGAGAGAAA
rnacentral:lncRNA from 1 species